GAUUAAGGUCCUUGAAAGUGAAAUCAGAAGCCUUUGGGUUUUGAAGAUGAGUGAUAUGAUCAUUUUAAAAAGUUCACUCUGUCUCAUAAGACACUGUAGUGGGACCAAGGCAGAAACAGAGAGACCAGGAGUUUAUGACACCGUGUGAAGAGAACACGCUGACUUUGAUACAUCAGAAAUGCAUUUGUUUAGAAAACAUUUCGUUGACAUUUCUUGUAGAAAAUAGCUUCACAUUAGCGUAGGAUAGGCUGAGACUGUGACAGUAUGAGUCAGUAAGAACUCUCUGAGUUUCGUUUUUCAAGUAAGAAUUUACUGGAUAGUUUAACAAGUGGACAAUAUGUGGGGUGAAAGAGUUUACACAUUUGAAUUUAUUUUGUUAUAACAUUUGGGAUUAUUACUAAGAGAGAUACACUGAGGUAAAUUCCAGUUUACUUAAGAACUGACAAAACUUGAUUUAGGUUGGUCGUCUUCUCAGAUAUUACUGAAACAUCUACCGGUCUAUUAAUAAACAUUUGCAGAAUAUCUUCCAUAAAUUCAAGAUCAUUCUGCAUGGUGUCUUUGUUUUUAUCAAGUGACAAUAUAAUACGUGAUUCUUCAACUUUAGAAUAGUCUUCAAAUUCCUUUUUAUGUUAAGUAAAAAUCUAUCCCAGUUCUUUUUAAUUUUUUUAUAACUUCACUAAGGUCUGAAAUGCAAUUUCUC
rnacentral:lncRNA from 1 species